AUAUAGAAAACACAAAGAAUUCCACUCAAUCACAAAUUUAACUUGCCCAUGAAAAUACUAUCAGUGAUCAUUAUUGUUUUGUUUCUGGGUUUUUUGUUUUUUGAUGGAGUCUCGCUCUGUUGCCCAGGCUGUAGUGCAGUGGUAUGAUUUUGGCUCACUGCAACCUCCGCCUGCUGGGUUUAAGUGAUUCUGCCUCAGCCUCCCGAGUAGCUGGGACUACAGGCGCCCGCCACCACACCCGGCUGAUUUUUUUUUAUUUUUUAGUAGAGACAGGGUUUCACCAUGUUGGCCAGGCUGGUUUUGAACUCCUGACCUCAAGCGAUCUGUCCUCCUCAACCUCCAAAUGCUGGGAUUACAGGUGUGAGCCACCACGCCCGGCCAACUAUUCCAUUUUUGUGGCGAGAUUUUUUUGUUUUUGUUUUUGUUUUUUAAUUCUUCCUUCUUAGGAGCUGUAAGACUAUUCAGAGAGUUCAGAAAGGCACAAAAUGGAAAGUAAAUGGCUUCCACUCUUUCUCUUAAAGGAACUACUAAAUACAGUGUCUUGGGUAUUUUUCUAAAGU
rnacentral:lncRNA from 1 species